rnacentral:rRNA from 1 species
UACGUAGGGUGCGAGCGUUAAUCGGAAUUACUGGGCGUAAAGCGUGCGCAGGCGGUUUUGUAAGACAGAUGUGAAAUCCCCGGGCUUAACCUGGGAACUGCAUUUGUGACUGCAAGACUAGAGUGCGGCAGAGGGGGGUAGAAUUCCACGUGGAGCGGUGAAAUGCGUAGAGAUCGGAAAGAACACCAACGGCGAAGGCACUCUGCUGGGCCGACACUGACACUGAGAGACGAAAGCUAGGGGAGCGAACAGG